UAGUGAUCAUUCAAUCACACAUUGGUCCUACUGCAUUGCAUUUAAUAUCAAAGGCUUAUUCAAGAACCUAAUUAAAGUCUUCAUUCUGUUUUUAAAAUUCUUGUCCCUCUGUUCCCAACACAGUCUUAGGCACACACGUGAUAUGAAUUUUUUUUAAAAAUAUGAGGAUCUUAAGAUACAAUUGUACGAUUGACAGUACACUAAAAAUGAAAUGACAAAGAUUUUACGACAGAUGGUGCUGUGCCCACUACUUAAAGUUUCUAGCUACAAGGCAAAGGUUCUUGUCAAAGUUUGUUGUAGGAAUUUUGGUCCCUUUGUUCUCAUUGCACUUUUAGAUGCACAUUAUAAUGAAAAUUUCAAAGUACGAGAAUCUCAAGAUAUAAUUAUACAACUAAGAGUAUAUUAGAACAAAGAUGAUUGAAAUUUUAGGAUAGAUGAUCAUAAGUUGUGCCCACUAAUCAUAGCUACAAGCUACAUGGCAUUUUUUACUCAUGCAAGUUUAUUUUAGGAAUAUCUAAUAGAGGGAUCCUUUAUUCCAAAAUUUCUAUCUCUCUGUUCCCAGUAUACUUUUAGCUGCAUGAUAUGUAGUGAGAAUCUUGAAACACAAAAGUAGGCACCAUUAUACAUAAUUGAUAGUGCAUCAGGAGCAAAAAGAAACUGAUUUUGAGAUGGAGAAUUCUCGUACCUAUUAAUUAUAGUUUCUAGCUACGAGGCAAAGUGCAUUUUUCGUGUGCAUUGUUAAACCAGGUAUAACCUCAGUGUCUAUGUCCUCUUUCUUCUUCCCAACAGGCAAUUCUCAGUCAAAUGAAUAGAGAAGAUUAGCUAGUGCAAGCUCCACUGUCACAACACCCAGACUCAAAUGAAUGAGUUAACGGAGCACAUGGAGGGAUCUUCUAUUUAUACUUUGCUACUAAAGAAUUUGUUUUGCUCACUCUACUUUUAUCAUGGAUCAUGCAGAUGAAGUGAAUCAAUCCAUCAUCAUAUGGUGAAUGGAGCAUAAGUUUGGAGGCUGUUCCAGCAAAGAACUAGUUCUUUGAAACUUGAGUAUGUCCUGAUUGGGAGGUUGGGCAGAUAUGUAAAGGAGUA